UGAUGUUAGUAGUAUGUGGGUGCUAUGGUGGAGGUGAUUCCCUAAUGAGCUUUAAAGUUCCUAACAACGAUGAAAGGUAAUGAUAUACAGGGUGAGAACAAAGUUUUUGCCUUGUUUAUAAAAAAUUAUAACCGUUUGACAUAAUAAGUUACAUUUGAUGCCCUUACAUCGGUUAGUGUUACUCGUUGUUUUGAUCAAUGCAUGGGGCUAGUGCUCAUUAUCAGCGACGUGGUCAGUUAGGUCACUAGUUGCUGGUGAAAUGGCGUCUAAGCAGGAGAAAGCGCAAUGUGUGCUUUAGUUUCAUGAAACGUAAUCGCCCAUCAGUAUUCAACGUAAAUUUCGGGCUUAUUAAGGACGCAGCCCUCCUGGCGUUAUAUCAGUAAAGAAGUGGUGUGCAACGUUUAACGAAACCCGAAACAAGCAGCGUUGAAUAUCGCCCUCGAAGUGGCAUGCCUCGUGUGAGUAAAACAACAGUUGGUAGUGGUCGGCAAUAGUUUCAACGGAGUCCCUCUAAAUUAACUCGUCAAGCACCAUCACGUGAACUUCAAAUACCGCAAGUAAGUGUGGUGAAGAUUCAUUAAAGGUGUAGGUUUGUAUGCUUACAAAGUGCAAAUCGUGUAAGCCUUCUGACAUGUUGCUGAAUUUGCAACUGAAAUCCUCAAGAGGAUUGAUGGCCCUAACGUUUAUUUAGUGUAUGCUUUAUCGAUGAAUCAACCUUUCAUGUUAGUGGAAUGGUAAAUAGGCAUAAUGUCCGUAUAUUGGGUAGGAGUCUCAACAAGCUACUAUACAGUUACAGCUAAAAAGUGAACGCUGCCUCAUGCAUAACAAGGUUUUUGACCGUUUUUCUUCGCGGAAAUAUCAAUAACCGCUAACAGUUACUUUGACGUUUUGCAAUAGUUCAUUCCCACACAGAAGAAUAUAAACCAUGGAUAAUUUUCCAGCAAGAUGGAGUACUCCUAUAUCGCCCACUGGGCUUUGAUAGUGCGUGAUUUCCUGGAUGAAAAGCGGAUUGGAAGGAACGGUCCAACAUUCUGGCCAUCUCGCUCUCCAGGCAUUACGCCUCUUGAGGCCUUUUUUUUUCCUCCUGCGGAUAUAUCAAGGUCAGUCUUCGUCAUGGCGACGAACUGAAGCUGCUGUUUGUACUGUGACGGAACGCAUGUUACGGAACACCUGUCGGAACUAUUAACACUUAAGCUAAUAACCGCAUCAAAUGUAAAUUAUGUCAAACGGUUUUUCUGUAAUUGUGUAAUCAGGGCAACACUUUGUGCUCACUUCUUUUUUUUUACAUUCCGUGGACGAUUCGAGUGAAUGAUGGUCGAGUUGGACCACGCGACAGGAGCCCACAUCGAGCAUCUCUUAAUGGAGAGAUCAUUGCAAGGCUGUGCAAGAAAACUGGAAGCAGACAGUGUAAAAGGAUUGGGUUUGUUUUCAGGAUUUGUGACAGUUCUUACUCAGUAAAAUAAUGGCAUGUAAUAAUGUAGAACUUUAUUUAAUAAAGACUUCCACAAAGUGAUA